rnacentral:lncRNA from 1 species
AACAUCCUGCUGUUCGAUUCCGGGGAGGACGACCCAUCACUGAAAAUCAUGGUUUAACCCUUCGUGAGAUUUUCCUGGGAGUUGUCCGAGUCUCUCAAUCACCCUCUUCACUCUAUUGCCUAAUUUUAGAAACAUUUGGGGAGAAAGUGUUUCAAGAGUAUUUUCAACACAGGUAAGAGCAGUCCAUAAAAUUUUUAAAGUCAUCAAUUCUUGUUUGUUAUUUUUAUUUAGUUAUUAGUUAAUGUACUCAUGUGACAUUGGAUAUGAUAUUGAAUGUUAUUGUCAACUAAUACUAGAGAUUAAUA